AACUCUCCUUGAUAAAUCAGAAGAAAAUAAGAAACAAUGUCAGAAAAAAAUCCAUUCAAGCCGAAUGUAAUUGUAAAUUCUUCCAUCUCCCUAGGAAUCAAUGCUCAUUUUCCAGACAAUAUCACUUCAUCAGACUUUUAUCCCAAAACUGCCAGACAGAAACAUUGGUAACCAUAGUUUUGAAAUAGAGACAAUAGCUUAAUAACCACACAGGUGAUAAGUUGAGCAAUGUUCUAAUGUUUCUUCUUCUUGAGUAACAUGUACAUUUUAAUUGCUUUACUUCUGAUUAAAUAGCAAUAUAAAUAUUUUCAGACUUGGGCAGGGAUACUAAGGACUAGAAAAGAAAUGAACAUAUUUUGAGGGCUAAGGAAAUUACCUAAACUUCAAAUAUCAGGUGACUGAAUUUUCCUCUAAGCAAUAGCAUUCAAUCUUCACUGCACAUUGGAAUCAUCUGAGAAGCCUAAAAACUACAAAUACCUUUGUCCAAGUAUAGGGGAGGAAGCCCUCUGCCUUGAAGGCGUCACUCUCUGUUACGCAUGCUGGAGUGCAGUGGCCAGAAUCUGAAUUUUAAUGCAAAAGUAAAAACUGUGGCAAUUACUGAUGUAUACACCAAUACUCCUAAUAAUAAUUAAAUUCAAGUCAUAGGUAACAUGUAUUGAAUACUUAAUAUAUGCCAGCCCUGGGCUAAGCUCUUUAUAUGGAUAGCUGCUUUGAGUCCUCACUUCUACCCUAAGAAAUAAGUAUAAUUAUUAUCCCCCAUUCUACAGAGAAGUAAAGUAGAGCUUAGCAGGAGGAAAAUGUGCAUUGUGGUGAAUAGUAUAAAAGACUCACUUUUAAUCCUUUAGACACAGCCAGAAACAAGAAGGAGUUUACAAUCUGGAUGGAAAGAUUAAACAAAAUUAAACAAUAUCAUAUGACAAAUGAGAAUUAGCGUAGGACCAUUUAUGAUCAAUUGCCAAAUACAUGAGGCAGGCAUAAAUUCUCCAAGUAUGCUGUGGGAAGAGAAGUCACUGGGUCCCAGGAAGAGUUUACGAUGGAAGUCGAGGAGGUUCCACAGUUCUUGCAGGAUAAAUAGAGCCUGCUUUGGCAGAGAUGAGGAGUAACACAUUUGAGACAGGAAAUAGAAAACAACACACUCUGAUCUCUGUAGAAAUGAAAAUGCCAUUCUCUAUGGGAUGAACAAUUAUAUAAGACAACAAUUAUAUGACUUUGGCAAAUUAUUUUCUCUCUCUAAACCUCAGUUCCCUCUGACGGAAAGUCAAUUACCUAAAGCCCAUUAGUUAUCACAGCAGGUCACAGGUAGGUGGCCAAAUUUUGAUUGAUGCACUAAAUUUAUUUUCAUUUUAAUACAGGAUAUGUAGAGCAAAACCAUUACCCAGAGUCUUGCUGAGCAAGUAGAGAAUGUGUAAGUGAAAGCAAAGAUGUGCGGUAUUAACACCACACCAAAGUGCACAGAUUUACUGAAAUCUGGGGAAAAUUUUCUCCCCUGAAUUCAAAAUACAGCACGUUUGAAGAAGUAUACAAUUCUAUAUAAAUGCAAUAUAUUCCUGAAGGACAACCAAAUGAUAAGAAGCUAACAAUGAAUAAUUUAAGAAUGCCACCAAGCUUCUAGCAAUGAGAAGUAACUUCCAAAAGUGGGAGGCUGAGAAGCAACUCCUAGGUAGAUUUAAUCCUAUGUGACAGCUACCUAAUUAUGUACCUACCAACUGUGAAUGACACGUAGCCAGUUCUCAAUACAUAUUUGUGGAGUUAAUGGAUCUUGUUGAAUGCCUACAUUUUC
rnacentral:lncRNA from 1 species